rnacentral:rRNA from 1 species
GACGUAGGGCGCGAGCGUUGUCCGGAUUUAUUGGGCGUAAAGAGCUCGUAGGCGGUUUGUCGCGUCUGUCGUGAAAGCCCACAGCUUAACUGUGGGUCUGCGGUGGAUACGGGCAGACUAGAGGCAGGUAGGGGAGAACGGAAUUCCUGGUGUAGCGGUGAAAUGCGCAGAUAUCAGGAGGAACACCGGUGGCGAAGGCGGGUCUCUGGGCCGAUACUGACGCUGAGGAGCGAAAGCGUGGGGAGCGAACAGG